rnacentral:rRNA from 1 species
UGGAAGGAAUACUGGAGACAGGUGCUGCAUGGCUGUCGUCAGCUCGUGUCGUGAGAUGUUGGGUUAAGGUCCCGCAACGAGCGCAACCCUUGCCUUUAGUUGCCAGCAGUUCGGCUGGGCACUCUAAAGGGACUGCCGGUGUUAAACCGGAGGAAGGUGGGGAUGACGUCAAGUCCUCAUGGCCUUUAUGACCAGGGCUACACACGUACUACAAUGGCCGAUACAAAGGGCAGCGACACUGCGAGGUGAAGCCAAUCCCGUAAAAUCGGUCUCAGUCCGGAUUGGAGUCUGCAACUCGACUCCAUGAAGUUGGAAUCGCUAGUAAUCGUGGAUCAGCAUGCCACGGUGAAUACGUUCCCGGGCCUU